GCGAUGAAACACCAGUUCUUGUACAAUCUCUGAAGUUAAGCAAUACCAAGCCUGGUCAGUAGCUAGAUGGGAGACUGCUUGGGAAUACCAGGUACGGCAA